rnacentral:lncRNA from 1 species
UCGCGUCCUUUACAGGCGAGGGGCGGGACAACGCCACUCUGUGACACCGGGCACCGCCCACGGGGCUUUAAAGGGGCAGAGCCGUUGCUUUUCACCCCCCCUGGCCUCCAUCUCAGCGCAUUUUGCUCGAUUCCGCCCGGUUCCCGGUGCACGCCGCGGGCGUGGUCACGUGUGCGUCCGUGGGUGCGCGUGGCAUCCCGUACUGGCGAAGAGACCCGCGCAGCUGCCGCUGCUCGGCGCGGAGCCGCGGGGGUGCCCGGUGCAGCGGGCGGGGGGGUCGUGGCUGUUUGGUGUUUGUGCGUUUGAAGCCACCCCCGGGCCGUGCCGUGUCACUGCGGGCCCUGGCGCCGCAACGUGGCGCGUUUCCAGCGGGGGAGCGGGUUCGGACGGUGGAUUCCUGUUGCCGGUGGCUCCCGCGAGUUCCUCAGGUAUUGCUGAAGCUCCUGGGUGGGCCCUGGUCACCCUGAAAUUCUGUGGCAAAACCAGGAAGCGAAGGGAGAUCUGGCAGUGCCAAAGUCGUCCUGUAGUCAUCGGAGGUGUCUCCAGGGAGAAUAUAAAAAGCAGCUUAAAAAAGGAAGGUUAUGGAGAUGUGUGAACUUGCAACAGCCUGCACCUGAAACUGGAGCCUUUAUCCACCAAAGCAAACUCGUAACCUACCCCAGAAGAAGCUGCUGAUUCACGGGGCGAGGGUGGACGCUCUUCCAUGGCUGAGACACAACUGGGUGCCCAGCCCGGGCCUGCAUGGCCAUUGCUGCUGUUGGGCUCUGACAGACGCCUCCACUGAGGCUGCCUCUGCCCCAGUGCCUGUCCUGCCCACCCUGUGCCCCCCGUACCUGACCCACAGGUGAUGCUGUGCCCAAUAGCAAGAGGCAAAGCCACCUGUGCUGCUGCAAAGAGUGCAGAGACUGUCACCCUGGUCAAGGGCCCAGCCACAGAAGAAUAAGCUGCAUUUAUUUGCUUGAAGAGCAUUUAGGGAUGUACCAUGUCUUAAAAUACAAGAAUUCUGAAUUAAACAUGAACUAUGGCUGUCCCGGUGCAGCCAAGGAGCCUGGGGACUGGCAGCAGUGGCAGGGCGGCUGCCAGCUGUUAUCUCGGGCGACAGGAGGAAGCAUGUAGUGUUCACUGUGACUCAUUUAUGGUGGUGUUUGCAGUGCAAAGCACUGUUAGUGGCAAGCUGGUGGGCUCACCUGAGCUUACAGCAACCUUUUCUGACCAGUAGGGCAAGGUCCAUUGGAAGAGAGUCUGUAAUAUUCAGCUGCCAAGUGUCUCAAAAAGAAAAAUGUAGAUUUCCAGCUAAAUAAUAAUAAAAGUGGGUUGAUUGAUAAAGCUAUCUGAACU